AAGACCUCGUAUCCUCCCUGUUGUUCCUCCGCUCCAUGCACUGUCGGCCCUAGCCAUCGCCCCCCUGCAUCGCUCGUCCCUAAGUACCACCACCGCCAGGGAUCGCUGCUCGCCCUCCCCAUCUCCUCUGCAGCCCUACGCCCCCUCCGUGUAUCCUGCUCACGAGGCUCCAUGAUGCCCGAGUGCCUAGGUCCCUACCGCACCUCCAGGCCCAGCGCCUCGCGUCCCUUGCUCGCCGUUCGUGCCCGCGACAACCAGGGCCGCCACCAGGAGGGUCUACCCCGAGCAGUGCGCCUCCUCUUCCUUCCGGCUUUGAUUCCUGCCUUCACGAAUGAUCAUUGUUUGAAGCUUGAAGCAUCAAGAAUUGCAAGUGAGCAAGAUUUGAAGAGUAGUAAGAGUAACUUUUCAUUGGUGAUAGGCAAGUGACCCUAACCAUACUUCUAUCUAUGCUUAUUUACAAGAAUAUUUUGUUUAAUUGGAACAUCGAGAACCACCCAGGAAAACAGUACAACCACAAUACUAUAUGGCUCUGUUCUUUGCUAA